rnacentral:tRNA from 1 species
GGGCGGAUGGUUUAGUGGUAUAAUUUUCCCUUAGCAUCUGGCUUCCUUCCUGAAGAGAAGCCGGUAUCCACGCCUGGGAAAGGUCCGGGGUUCGAUUCCCCGUUCGUCCA